AACAAGCCAAUAGUGAAAUCCACCAGCCUAACUGGUGUCAGCUAAUGGAACUGUAUAACUUGAGUACAGGAGAGGAAAGUGGAAUUCCUAGUGUAGUAGUGAAAUGCGUAGAUAUUAGGAAGAACAUCAGUAGCGAAGGCGACUUUCUGGACUGUAACUGACGCUGAGGAACGAAAGCGUGGGGAGCGAACAGGAUUAGAUACCCUGGUAGUCCACGCCGUAAACGAUGGAUACUUGGUGUUGGCCGUAAAGGUCGGUGCCGGAGCAAAUGUAUUAAGUAUCCCGCCUGGGGAGUACGGUCGCAAGGCUGAAACUCAAAAGAAUUGACGGGGACCCGCACAAGCAGCGGAGCAUGUGGUUUAAUUCGAAGCAACGCGAAGAACCUUACCAAAUCUUGACAUAUCAAAGCUAUCUGAGUAAAAUUGGAGUUCCAUUUGGACUUUGACUACAGGUGGUGCAUGGUUGUCGUCAGCUCGUGUCGUGAGAUGUUGGGUUAAGUCCCGUAACGAGCGCAACCCUUAUUUUUAGUUGCUAACAAGUAAAGUUGAGGACUCUAGAGAGACUGCCGAUGAAAAAAUCGGAGGAAGGUGGGGAUGACGUCAAAUCAUCAUGCCCCUUAUGAUUUGGGCUACACACGUGCUACAAUGGCCGGUACAACGGGUAAGCGAAGGGGUGACCUGGAGCCAAUCCUCACAAGCCGGUCCCAGUUCGGAUUGCAGAUUGAAACUCAUCUGUAUGAAGU
rnacentral:rRNA from 1 species